rnacentral:rRNA from 1 species
UACGUAGGGUGCAAGCGUUAAUCGGAAUUACUGGGCGUAAAGCGUGCGCAGGCGGCUUUGCAAGACAGUUGUGAAAUCCCCGGGCUCAACCUGGGAACUGCAUCUGUGACUGCAUAGCUAGAGUACGGUAGAGGGGGAUGGAAUUCCGCGUGUAGCAGUGAAAUGCGUAGAUAUGCGGAGGAACACCGAUGGCGAAGGCAGCCCCCUGGGUCAAGAUUGACGCUCAUGCACGAAAGCGUGGGGAGCAAACAGG